rnacentral:rRNA from 1 species
GAUGAACGCUAGCGGCAGGCUUAACACAUGCAAGUCGAGGGGCAGCAUAAUGGAUAGCAAUAUCUAUGGUGGCGACCGGCGCACGGGUGCGUAACGCGUAUGCAACCUACCUUUAACAGGGGGAUAACACUGAGAAAUUGGUACUAAUACCCCAUAAUAUCAUAGAAGGCAUCUUUUAUGGUUGAAAAUUCCGAUGGUUAGAGAUGGGCAUGCGUUGUAUUAGCUAGUUGGUGGGGUAACGGCUCACCAAGGCGACGAUACAUAGGGGGACUGAGAGGUUAACCCCCCACACUGGUACUGAGACACGGACCAGACUCCUACGGGAGGCAGCAGUGAGGAAUAUUGGUCAAUGGACGCAAGUCUGAACCAGCCAUGCCGCGUGCAGGAUGACGGCUCUAUGAGUUGUAAACUGCUUUUGUACGAGGGUAAACGCAGAUACGUGUAUCUGUCUGAAAGUAUCGUACGAAUAAGGAUCGGCUAACUCCGU